CUGCUAUGCACCAAGCACGGAGUUGGAUGAUGCAUGGGUCACAGACAUGGAAGAUGGUCCUAGCCCUCAGAGAGCUGACAGUCUACAAGACCGUAACUACAACACAAGGCAGAAUGUGCUAAGUGUCGUAAGUAAGGUGUCACUGGAAGUGCCCAGCAUCGUCUCAUGGCCUGGUCCAGCCCACUUCCUGUGAAGACAGCUUCUGGCUGUACCUGGAGCCACGUGAUCCUCAUAGACAAGGUUCCUGCCCAAAGCGUGGUACCACCUGAGUCUGUCUUUCUCCCUACUGCCUCAGGCAGGACUCUCUGCAACGACUCUUCCCAUCCCUCCUUCAAGACCUAUUUCACACAUUCCCCCUCAUCCUCGGUUGCUUUCAGUUCAGUUCACUAUGAUUAGCAACUCUCCAGACUGCACAGGUGCCUCCCAGGGCACCCAGCUGCAUGGCUUGGGAUGCUGCAUGGCCAGGUGACUCAUCCUUUCAGAUUUCAGUAAAACAAUGUUUUUUUAAAAAAAAAGAAGGGGAGACGGAUAACUUUUGGAAGUAGACCCAGUGACAGCAGAAAUAAUUGAUAACAGACAGCUUGGGAACAAGAGAAGAAACACAAGGAAAGUCUCAUUCUUCCAGAUGGUGCAAAUAAUGCAACAAGACCAGAAAAGAGAACGAACAGCAGAAAUGCUGGAAAGAGACAGAAGACAUUAUGACAGUCGACCCAUAAAACCCAGGAAGACAGCCCCUCUGUUCGGCGAGCAAGCCAAUUACUAAAUAAAUACAUGAAAAUCUAUUUCUUUUACAUAAACCAACAGCAAACAAUUAGAAAAUAUACUGGAAAAUGAUACCACACACCUUGGCAAACAAUUCAAAAUUCCCAAGUAUAAACUUAAGAAAUGUGCAGGGACCUCCAUGAGAAAACCAUGUGAACGUGUGAUGGACGUACUGAAGUUCCAGAGGAGAAGCUCCAGGAUGACAAAGAUUCUAAUUCCCUCAACGCUCAUCUAUAAACUUAACACAAUUUCAAUCAGCAUCACAGAGAAAUAUUUUUUUCCAACUGACCAAAUCAUUCUAAAGUUCAUUUGGAAACAAAAUGCAAGAGAACAGCCAAGAAAUUUUGUAAUCUUGGGAUACAUGCCCUAAAAUAAUUAAAAUAUUAAAACAGUGUGGAACUGGCAAAAGAACAUAGAUUCAUAUCAUUGGACAGAAAGAACUCCAGAAACAGAACCAAGAAUAUGUGAGAAUUAACACGACAGGGAGCACUUUGAACCAGUAGGAAAAGGAUGGAUGAUGCUGGGAAAAUGUAAGGUUGGAUUCUGUACCUUACAUGAGACAUCAGGUCAUUCUAGGAAUGGAUUCAACAUUUAAGUGUGAAAAAUUAAGCUCCGAAAGUGCUAGAAUAAACUAAAAUGUACAUGAAGAUCUGCAACAACUUAGAGAAGCACGGGUCGCUAAGAACGACACCGAAGGCAGAAGUUAAGAAAACACUUAGAAAUGUCUCUACGUGCAAAUAAAAAGCAUUUUUUACAUCAACAAGCACUAGAAGCAAA